GGGCAGUAAUGUGCUGCUGUCCCUCCCCAGCCUGGUGCCUUCCCCAGAGCUUUGGGCUCGUGUCCCCAUCUCACCAUCUCAUCUUCACUGCCUAUGGUGGCCAGGGAAGCUCCGUGGGCAUUGCAGUGCUCCCUGCUGCUGUUCCAAUCAUUCUCCUCCUUCGAAAAAUAAUAGCAUUUCCCCUGGAAUCCGACCCAGGCGUUGGGGCACACGUGGGCAAAGGCUGGGAAAGGUGGCACAGGGACCUGCCGACAUGCUGAAAUGAGGAAUUGGAC
rnacentral:lncRNA from 1 species